GUAAUUAUUAUUAUUAUUUUAGUUAUUUCAAAUAGACAAAAAGCAAAAUAAGAAAUGUAAAAAUAAAACAGAUUGUCAUUGACAUGCAAUUUUACAUAAGUUGUUCAAAAAGGAGCAGGUAGAAGAUACAAGGUUUUCAAAACAGCAAACACAGAGGCCUAAAAAAAAGUGACACAUUUUGUUUGCCAAAAUAUUUAAAGGUGACUCAUUAUGCUAUAGUGUUGGAACUCAGCUGGGGUUGCUAGGUAACAGACAGUGCUGCUGAUUUACAUUCACAAGGAUUUUUGAAACAGCUCAUUUUCCAGACACCAAAAAACAUUAAGUUAUUGCCAAAAACCAGCUGCUUGUUUUUUUUCAAGCAGCUGAGCUUUUUUUUUUUAGAAGCAGUGGAGACUCAAAUAGAAGUUAAAAAAAACAUACAAAAUGUGGGUUUUAACUAUGAGACAAAAGCUAAUAUUACCUUCAACAAAACAACUUGCAACCAAAUGCGUGAUCUCUUCGUAUCAAUCAUUAUAUAACAGUCAAGAAAAUAAAAACACUCAAUGCACCUUCUACAGAAGAUGCACGCCAAAUAUUCCUUCCCUGAAAAUAUUUGAUCCAGUCAUAAAUGCUUUGAUUCCAAUUUUAUUGACUCCAUGACAUUUUUUCAAACUGUGACUGAAAACUGAAAUACAGAGAAUACUGUAAAAGUAAACCAAAAUAAAACCAGAGAAUAAGAAAUUAAGAAAGUAACAAAUUUAUUACAGUAAAGAAAUACCGAUUGUUGAUUCUCAUGCUUCUCUUGGUAGUUUAGUUUGAGACAUCUAACAGAAACAGGU